rnacentral:rRNA from 1 species
UACAGAGGGGGCAAGCGUUGUUCGGAAUUACUGGGCGUAAAGGGCGCGUAGGCGGCCCGCUAAGUCGAACGUGAAAUCCCCGGGCUUAACCCGGGAACUGCGUCCGAUACUGGCAGGCUUGAAUCCGGGAGAGGGAUGUGGAAUUCCAGGUGUAGCGGUGAAAUGCGUAGAUAUCUGGAGGAACACCGGUGGCGAAGGCGGCAUCCUGGACCGGUAUUGACGCUGAGGCGUGAAAGCUAGGGGAGCAAACGGG